rnacentral:rRNA from 1 species
UACGUAGGUGGCAAGCGUUGUCCGGAUUUAUUGGGUUUAAAGGGUGCGUAGGCGGCUCUAUAAGUCAGUGGUGAAAUACGGCAGCUCAACUGUCGAGGUGCCAUUGAUACUGUGGAACUUGAGUACAGACGAGGUAGGCGGAAUUGACGGUGUAGCGGUGAAAUGCUUAGAUAUCGUCAAGAACACCGAUAGCGAAGGCAGCUUACUAGACUGUAACUGACGCUGAGGCACGAAAGUGUGGGGAUCAAACAGG